UCUCGUGGUGCGCCGUUUUUUAAGCCCAUCAGAAAAGCGCAGUAUUCGGGUGGGAGUGACCCGACUUUCCAGGUGCCGUCCAUCACCCCUUUCUUUGACUCGGAAAGGGAACUCCCUGACCCCUUGCGCUUCCCGAGUGAGGCAAUGCCUCGCCCUGCUUCGACUCGCGCAUGGUGCGCGCACGCACUGACCUGCGCCCACUGUCUGGCACUCCCUAGUGAGAUGAACCCGGUACCUCAGAUGGAAAUGCAGAAAUCACCAGUCUUCUGCGUCGCUCACGCUGGGAGCUGUAGACCGGAGCUGUUCCUAUUCGGCCAUCUUGUCUCCUCCCGUGUUUUCCAGGUGUAUUCCACAUUGUCUCUACUAGUGAACUAGGAUAAUCCAUUGUGUAUCUCAACCUCCUUCACUACCCUGUGAAAGUCACAUGUGAGAAGAAGCAUCACAGAUGAUUCCAUGGAGAACAUCCUGGAAGUUCUCCAAAUGGGCUUUUGGCUCAAUUCUGAAUAAACAGUGAACAUCCAUGUGGGAGCAAUGAGGAGGAACUGUAGCAUCUGGAACAGUCCAAAAAGGAAGCUGGGAGUCAGCCCAUCACGAGGUUGCUUGAUCAGAAUCACAUGAACUGGAAAUUCCCUGUCUCCCCUUAACCAGCACUGGAAGCAGAUGGGAAGAGAAUAGCUGUGACUGACUCACACUCUAACCCAGCAACCCUCAGCAUACAAGUGGGAGACCAUAAAGUUUUUCAAGACCCCAAAAGAGGCCAAAGGUCUGAUAAUUGCUGGGAGAAGGUCCACUAUCCAAGAAGAGAAGAGGAAAAGGAAUUAAAGUCUCCAAGCACUGGGGAUGCAAGAAGAGAGUUGCACAGGAGAGAAAGAAGAAGUUGUCCACGGGGUGACCCUGCAAUUGGAGGGAAAUGCAUGUGGAUAUGUGCAGGGAGUCUAGGAAGUGAAGCCUUAGUGAUCAUUUACAAGAAUGAGGGUUAGGUAAAAUAAGGGAUGCAAAGCCACCUGUAGUCUAUUCUAACCUCACUCCAUCACUCUAUACAAUCUGUGUUUUAUCAUCUGAAAUGUUAAGUAAAGACCUGUUUGGGUCUUCUUCAGAAUCCCAUACAUUUGAGUUCAUUAGUCAGAAAAAGGGAAAAUACCACCACCCCAUCCUGGAAUGGCAGUCAUGUACACUUUUAUAAUGAGAGAUUGGGCAGCAAAGGGGGCCCCUUGUGGACCUCACCCA
rnacentral:lncRNA from 1 species